rnacentral:rRNA from 1 species
GACGAACCGAGCGAACGUUGUUCGGAAUCACUGGGCUUAAAGGGCGCGUAGGCGGGUGCUCAAGUCCGGGGUGAAAUCCUCCAGCUCAACUGGAGAACUGCCUCGGAUACUGGGUGCCUCGAGGGUGGUAGGGGUAUGCGGAACUAUCGGUGGAGCGGUGAAAUGCGUUGAUAUCGAUAGGAACUCCGGUGGCGAAGGCGGCAUACUGGACCACAUCUGACGCUGAGGCGCGAAAGCAUGGGGAGCGAACAGG